GACGAACGCUGGCGGCGUGCUUAACACAUGCAAGUCGAACGGAAAGGCCCCUUUGGGGGUACUCGAGUGGCGAACGGGUGAGUAACACGUGAGUAACCUGCCCUUGACUUCGGGAUAACUUCAGGAAACUGGGGCUAAUUCCGGAUAGGAAUCCUUGCUGCAUGGUGGGGGUUGGAAAGCUUCGGCGGUUUUGGAUGGACUCGCGGCUUAUCAGCUUGUUGGUGGGGUAGUGGCUUACCAAGGCUUUGACGGGUAGCCGGCCUGAGAGGGCGACCGGCCACAUUGGGACUGAGAUACGGCCCAGACUCCUACGGGAGGCAGCAGUGGGGAAUAUUGCACAAUGGGCGGAAGCCUGUUGCAGCAACGCCGCGUGCGGGAUGACGGCCUUCGGGUUGUAAACCGCUUUCAGCAGGGGUGAAGCUUGUGGUGACGGUACCUGCAGAAGAAGCACCGGCUAACUACGUG
rnacentral:rRNA from 1 species